rnacentral:rRNA from 1 species
UACGUAGGGUGCGAGCGUUGUCCGGAAUUACUGGGCGUAAAGAGCUCGUAGGUGGUUUGUCGCGUUGUUCGUGAAAACUCACAACUCAAUUGUGGGCGUGCGGGCGAUACGGGCAGACUGGAGUACUGCAGGGGAGACUGGAAUUCCAGGUGUAGCGGUGAAAUGCGUAGAUAUCUGGAGGAACACCGGUGGCGAAGGCGGCGUUCUGGACUGCAACUGACACUGAGGAACGAAAGCCAGGGGAGCAAACGGG